GAUGAACGCUGGCGGCGUGCCUAAUACAUGCAAGUCGAGCGAACAGACGAGGAGCUUGCUCCUCUGACGUUAGCGGCGGACGGGUGAGUAACACGUGGAUAACCUACCUAUAAGACUGGGAUAACUUCGGGAAACCGGAGCUAAUACCGGAUAAUAUAUUGAACCGCAUGGUUCAAUAGUGAAAGACGGUUUUGCUGUCACGUAUAGAUGGAUCCGCGCCGCAUUAGCUAGUUGGUAAGGUAACGGCUUACCAAGGCGACGAUGCGUAGCCGACCUGAGAGGGUGAUCGGCCACACUGGAACUGAGACACGGUCCUGACUCCUACGGGACGCAGCAGUCGGGAAUCUUCCGCAAUGGGCGAAAGCCUGACGGAGCAACGCCGCGUGAGUGAUGAAGGUCUUCGGAUCGUAAAACUCUGUUAUUAGGGAAGAACAAAUGUGUAAGUAACUAUGCACGUCUUGACGGUACCUAAUCAGAAAGCCACGGCUAACUACGUG
rnacentral:rRNA from 1 species